AAGACACAGUAACAAAACAUCCUGUUGAAGUCCAAGAGAUAAAGAGAGAAUGAAAAAUAAUCAUCAUGCCAAGUCAGGACUUCAGGAGCUGAACAGAAGGCCUAACAGGUCACAUUAACCACUGGCAUAAUAACCACCACUACCAAUAAAGGAUACUUCGAAUGGGCUGAGAAAUACGUCCUUCAUUUUUGAGGACCAGAAGCCUUCAGUCACCCACAAUCCUUCACAUACAGCACAAAACCAUUAAAAAGUCAUAAACAGCCGUUAGCAGAGAGAUGCCGCAACUAAGUUGUGUGUAAUGUUAUUAAUUUUUUUUUUCACACCAGUAAAGUCUGUGAUGUGUUGGGAGUGCCUGCUCAGGCCUUCUCAGUUGUGUGUAUGUGAGCACUAAAGAAAUGUUGAUAUUAUUUUGA